rnacentral:rRNA from 1 species
GGUUAAGCGACUAAGCGUACACGGUGGAUGCCCUGGCAGUCAGAGGCGAUGAAGGACGUGCUAAUCUGCGAAAAGCGUCGGUAAGGUGAUAUGAACCGUUACAGCCGGCGAUGUCCGAAUGGGGAAACCCAGUGCAAUUCGUUGCACUAUCGUUAACUGAAUACAUAGGUUAACGAGGCGAACCGGGGGAACUGAAACAUCUAAGUACCCCGAGGAAAAAAAAUCAACCGAGAUUCCCCCAGUAGCGGCGAGCGAACGGGGAGCAGCCCAGAGUCUGAAUCAGCUUGUGUGUUAGUGGAACGGUCUGGAAAGUCCGACGGUACAGGGUGAUAGUCCCGUACACCAAAAUGCACAGGCUGUGAACUCGAAGAGUAGGGCGGGACACGUGGUAUCCUGUCUGAAUAUGGGGGGACCAUCCUCCAAGGCUAAAUACUCCUGACUGACCGAUAGUGAACCAGUACCGUGAGGGAAAGGCGAAAAGAACCCCGGCGAGGGGAGUGAAAAAGAACCUGAAACCGUGUACGUACAAGCAGUGGGAGCACCUUCGGGUGUGACUGCGUACCUUUUGUAUAAUGGGUCAGCGACUUAUAUUCUGUAGCAAGGUUAACCGUAUAGGGGAGCCGCAGGGAAACCGAGUCUUAACUGGGCGUUAAGUUGCAGGGUAUAGACCCGAAACCCGGUGAUCUAGCCAUGGGCAGGUUGAAGGUUGGGUAACACUAACUGGAGGACCGAACCGACUAAUGUUGAAAAAUUAGCGGAUGACUUGUGGCUGGGGGUGAAAGGCCAAUCAAACCGGGAGAUAGCUGGUUCUCCCCGAAAGCU